UUUGGUAGUUCCAGGGUGAUAACUUGGUUCCGUCUUCUUGAAAUCGUUUACCUUUGUAUAGAUCGACGUCGAGGAAUGUCGUUUCUGUGUCGCUGGUUGUCCAAGUGAAUUUAAUGAAAAUGUCGUCAAUGUAGCGGAACCAGUGAGUCGG